rnacentral:tRNA from 1 species
AGGGCUAUAGCUCAGUGGUAGAGCACCUCGUUUACACCGAGAACGUCUACGGUUCAAAUCCGUAUAGCCCUA